rnacentral:rRNA from 1 species
GGCGUGCUAUAGAUGCAGUCGAGCGGACAGAUGGGAGCUUGCUCCCUGAUGUUAGCGGCGGACGGGUGAGUAACACGUGGGUAACCUGCCUGUAAGACUGGGAUAACUCCGGGAAACCGGGGCUAAUACCGGAUGGUUGUCUGAACCGCAUGGUUCAGACAUAAAAGGUGGCUUCGGCUACCACUUACAGAUGGACCCGCGGCGCAUUAGCUAGUUGGUGAGGUAACGGCUCACCAAGGCGACGAUGCGUAGCCGACCUGAGAGGGUGAUCGGCCACACUGGGACUGAGACACGGCCCAGACUCCUACGGGAGGCAGCAGUAGGGAAUCUUCCGCAAUGGACGAAAGUCUGACGGAGCAACGCCGCGUGAGUGAUGAAGGUUUUCGGAUCGUAAAGCUCUGUUGUUAGGGAAGAACAAGUGCCGUUCAAAUAGGGCGGCACCUUGACGGUACCUAACCAGAAAGCCACGGCUAACUACGUGCCAGCAGCCGCGGUAAUACGUAGGUGGCAAGCGUUGUCCGGAAUUAUUGGGCGUAAAGGGCUCGCAGGCGGUUUCUUAAGUCUGAUGUGAAAGCCCCCGGCUCAACCGGGGAGGGUCAUUGGAAACUGGGGAACUUGAGUGCAGAAGAGGAGAGUGGAAUUCCACGUGUAGCGGUGAAAUGCGUAGAGAUGUGGAGGAACACCAGUGGCGAAGGCGACUCUCUGGUCUGUAACUGACGCUGAGGAGCGAAAGCGUGGGGAGCGAACAGGAUUAGAUACCCUGGUAGUCCACGCCGUAAACGAUGAGUGCUAAGUGUUAGGGGGUUUCCGCCCCUUAGUGCUGCAGCUAACGCAUUAAGCACUCCGCCUGGGGAGUACGGUCGCAAGACUGAAACUCAAAGGAAUUGACGGGGGCCCGCACAAGCGGUGGAGCAUGUGGUUUAAUUCGAAGCAACGCGAAGAACCUUACCAGGUCUUGACAUCCUCUGACAAUCCUAGAGAUAGGACGUCCCCUUCGGGGGCAAAGUGACAGGUGGUGCAUGGUUGUCCUCACCUCGUGUCGUGAAAUGUUGGG